GGGAUUGCCCUAGUAACGGCGAGUGAAGCGGCAAUAGCUCAAAUUUUGAAUUUGGAGCCUUUGGCUUCCGAGUUGUAAUUUGCAGAGGGAGCCUCGGAGGGCGAGACGGUCCAAGUGCCUUGGAACAGGAUACCGCAGAGGGUGAGAGUCCCGUAUCCGGCCGAUCUUGCGCUCCGUGUGAGGCCCCUUCGACGAGUCGAGUUGUUUGGGAAUGCAGCUCCAAGCGGGUGGUAAAUUCCAUCUAAAGCUAAAUACUGGCCAGAGACCGAUAGCGAACAAGUAGAGUGAUCGAAAGAUGAAAAGCACUUUGAAAAGAGAGUCAAACAGUACGUGAAAUUGUUGAAAGGGAAGCGCAUGGGGGCAGACUUGGACGCGGGGUUCAGCGUUUCUAUUGGAGCGUGUACUUCCCCGCGUGCAGGCCAGCAUCGGUUCCGGGGGCCGGACAAAGAGGUUGGGAAUGUGGCUCCCCUCGGGGAGUGUUAUAGCCCGGCGUGCAAUGCGGCCACCUGGGACCGAGGACCGCGCCUUGUGCAAGGAUGCUGGCGUAAUGGCCUCAUGCGGCCCGUCUUGAAACACGGACCAAGGAGUCUAACAUCUAUGCGAGUGUUUGGGUGGCAAGCCCGGACGCGCAAUGAAAGUGAACGGAGGUGGGAGUCUGUUACAGGACGCACCAUCGACCGAUCCGGACGUCUUCUGAAGGAUUUGAGUAAGAGCAUAGCUGUUGGGACCCGAAAGAUGGUGAACUAUGCGUGAAUAGGGUGAAGCCAGAGGAAACUCUGGUGGAGGCUCGCAGCGG
rnacentral:rRNA from 1 species